UACGUAGGGUGCAAGCGUUGUCCGGAAUUAUUGGGCGUAAAGAGCUCGUAGGCGGUCCGUCACGUCGGCUGUGAAAACCCGGGGCUCAACUCCGGGCCUGCAGUCGAUACGGGCGGACUAGAGUACUGCAGGGGAGACUGGAAUUCCUGGUGUAGCGGUGAAAUGCGCAGAUAUCAGGAGGAACACCGAUUGCGAAGGCAGCUCGCUGGGACGUCACUGACGCUGAGAACGCGAAAGCCGUGGGGAGCAAACAGG
rnacentral:rRNA from 1 species